AUACUUACCUGACAGGACAUAGAAUGGCCAAGAAGGUGGCUUUCUGGGAGAAGCGUGAUCCGUUGCACCUACGGCAUACUGACUUCAGCAAUUCCCCAAACUUCGGGACACUCAACUGUAUAAUGUGUGGUAGUGGGAGACUGUGUUCCAGCUCUGG